GAUGAACGCUGGCGGCGUGCCUAAUACAUGCAAGUCGAGCGAACAGAUGAGGAGCUUGCUCCUCUGACGUUAGCGGCGGACGGGUGAGUAACACGUGGAUAACCUACCUAUAAGACUGGGAUAACUUCGGGAAACCGGAGCUAAUACCGGAUAAUAUAUUGAACCGCAUGGUUCAAUAGUGAAAGACGGUUUUGCUGUCACUUAUAGAUGGAUCCGCGCCGCAUUAGCUAGUUGGUAAGGUAACGGCUUACCAAGGCAACGAUGCGUAGCCGACCUGAGAGGGGAAUCGGCAACACGGAAACUAGGACACGGUCCGAAUCCUAAGGGAAGGAGGCGUUGGGAAAUCUGCGGAAAGGGGCGAAAGCCUGACGGAGCAAGGCCGCGGAGGUAAGGAAGGUCUUCGGAUCGUAAAACUCUGUAAUAGGGAAAAAAAAAAGGUGAAAGUAACAAUGCACGUCUUGACGGUACCAAAUCAGAAAGCCACGCCUAACUCCGG
rnacentral:rRNA from 1 species